AAAGGUUACUGCUUUGCAGCCCACCAGGUUGUUGUGGAGAAUGAAAAUGAUCUGUCUGGGGUUUCUCUUCUUUUUGGCAGCUUUCUCAGGUGUCAGUUCUCAAAUCCAGCUGACCCAGUCCGGGGCAGAAAUCAAGAAGCCUGGAGAGUCUGUGAAGGUGACAUGUAAAACCUCCGGCUACACCUUUACCAGCUACGACAUUAGCUGGGUGCGGCAGGCUCCCGGGAAAGGACUGGAGUGGAUCGGAUAUAUUAAUCCCAGUAAUGGUGGCACUAGCUAUGCCCAGGCUUUCCAGGGUCGAUUCACCAUCACCAGGGACACCUCCAUAAGCACGGCCUAUCUGCAGCUGGGCAGCCUGAGAACCGAGGACACGGCCACAUAUUACUGUGCUAGGGACACAGUGACACAAACCACAUCUACAGCCAUUCAAAAACCCUCAGCUCCGGGGAAAGGGCUGGAGUGGGUCGCACAGAUACGCAAUCUUGCUUCUAGCUCAGCAGCAUAUUACAGUGACGCGGUUAAAGGGCGAUUCACCAUCUCCAGGGACGAGUCCCGCAGCUCGGUGUAUCUGCAGAUGAACAGCCUGAGAGCCGAGGACACCGCCCGGUAUUACUGUGCGACAGACACAGCGAUCAGAAACCUCCUGCGGCAGCGCCCGGAGAGACAAUCCGCAGCCCCUGGGUCUGUGCAGUGA